rnacentral:rRNA from 1 species
AGAAUCAACGCUGGCGGCGUGCCUAACACAUGCAAGUCGAACGAGAAAGUGGGAGCAAUCCCACGAGUAAAGUGGCGCACGGGUGAGUAACACGUGACUAACCUACCCUUGAGUGGGGGAUAACCUAGGGAAACCUGGGCUAAUACCGCAUAAUACCUACGGGUCAAAGGAGCAAUUCGCUUUAGGAGGGGGUCGCGGCAGAUUAGUUAGUUGGCGGGGUAAUGGCCCACCAAGACAGUGAUCUGUAUCCGGCCUGAGAGGGCGCACGGACACACUGGAACUGAAACACGGUCCAGACUCCUACGGGAGGCAGCAGUGGGGAAUUUGCGCAAUGGGGGAAACCCUGACGCAGCAACGCCGCGUGGAGGAUGAAGCCCUUGGGGCGUAAACUCCUUUCGAUCGGAAGAUAAUGACGGUACCGGAAGAAGAAGCCCGGCUAACUUCGCGCCAGCAGCCGC